rnacentral:rRNA from 1 species
CCUACGGGAGGCAGCAGUAAGGAAUAUUGGUCAAUGGAGGCAACUCUGAACCAGCCAUGCCGCGUGCAGGAUGAAGGCCCUAUGGGUCGUAAACUGCUUUUACACAAGAGAAAACCCGAGUACGUGUACUCGGUUGAUAGUAUUGUGAGAAUAAGCAUCGGCUAACUUCGUGCCAGCAGCCGCGGUAAGACGAGGGAUGCAAGCGUUAUCCGGAUUCAUUGGGUUUAAAGGGUGCGUAGGCGGACCUGUAAGUCAGUGGUGAAAUCUCUUUGCUUAACAAAGAAACUGCCAUUGAUACUGCAAGUCUAGAGUAUAGAUGACGUUGGCGGAAUAUGACAUGUAGUGGUGAAAUACUUAGAUAUGUCAUAGAACACCGAUUGCGAAGGCAGCUAACGAAACUAUAACUGACGCUGAGGCACGAAAGUGCGGGGAUCAAACAGGAUUAGAUACCCUGGUAGUCCGCACCGUAAACGAUGAUUACUCGUUGUUGGCAAUAUGACCGUCAGCGACCAAGCGAAAGCGAUAAGAAUCCACCUGGGGUUAGACGCGCGACGUAGAACGUUAAGAAGUAGAGGCGNGAGAGNGCGACGGACGACGACGAGGAGGAGG